GACGAACGCUGGCGGCGUGCUUAACACAUGCAAGUCGAACGGAAAGGCCUCUUUCGGGGGGUACUCGAGUGGCGAACGGGUGAGUAACACGUGAGUAACCUGCCCUUGACUUUGGGAUAACUUCAGGAAACUGGGGCUAAUACCGGAUAGGAGCUCCUGCUGCAUGGUGGGGGUUGGAAAGUUUCGGCGGUUGGGGAUGGACUCGCGGCUUAUCAGCUUGUUGGUGGGGUAGUGGCUUACCAAGGCUUUGACGGGUAGCCGGCCUGGGAGGGUGACCGGCCACAUUGGGACUGAGAUACGGCCCAGACUCCUACGGGGGGCAGCAGUGGGGAAUAUUGCACAAUGGGUGGAAGCCUGAUGCAGCAACGCCGUGUGCGGGAUGACGGCCUUCGGGUUGGAAACCGCUUUCGCUCAUGACGAAGCUUUGUGUGACGGUAGUGGGUAAAGAAGCACCGGCUAACUACGUG
rnacentral:rRNA from 1 species